UGCAAGUGGAAGAGCUUGUGGUUCAGCCAUUGCCCUUUGCCUCUGCCAUGGGAAUGGCAUGUCCCGGCCAAGUGCUGCCCCAUCAGCCUGGAUCCCAGCAUGUGGAGGGAACAAGGAGUGGAGCGGAGCUGCUGGUGAACCAUGCUGCGAGCGGUGUUCCCAGAACACCAUCUGUGACUUGCUGUGGUGGCGACACACCAUCAUGGGCUUUCCCGAUCAUGCCACCUGCUGCCCAAGCCCACAGGACAGUGAUUCAGCGUGGAGAAAUAAGCACCUGAUUUCACAGGCAGAAGGAUCAGGGAGACUGAGGUGCAGCUUGCAGAGUCAAGGGGAGCUGAUGGAUCGUCUCUGCACACCCUUAGCUGAAUGAGGACCCAGGCCGAGUUCACUCUUAAUAAUGCUAGCUCACAUUGUUUCUGAGUAUUUGCUGUGAUUUGGGCACUGUUCUAUCUGUUCUUCUGGCACAAAUCAAUUUAAUUUUCAUUAAAGCGAUCAUGAGAUAGGCUUAUUCCCCCUGCCCCCCCCCCCCGUUCAUUUUUACAGAUAAGGAGAAUAAGACACGGAGAGGCAAUAAUUAGCCCAAAGUCACACAGUGUGUCAUGAUUUGAACUCAGGCCAUCUGGAACCAGAGUUGGAGUUCAUCAUCAUGCACCCAAGUAUACAUAUUUACCCCAGUUCAGUUAACAAAAUUCCUGUGAGUUAAAGCAGAAGCGGGUGCGUGUGCGCACAUACACACACCAAUUGCACUUACAUGUUUUGAUUGGCCUAACCAGAUUGAUGUCAGAAUAAAAAAGUCAUUCUUU